rnacentral:lncRNA from 1 species
GUGGAGGAUUGCAAACGAAACAACUAUCUACUAAAGGUCAAGCUGAUUUUUUUUAGGGGGGGGGGGGGGUAAGCAAAUACAAACAAAAAGAGAAAGAGGCAUAAUGAUUUAUGUAGUGAAAGUAUUAUGAUAUGCAUGUCCAAUGAGUAUUAUUGAUAUAGGAGGAGUACCAGGUUAUUUAGGUAACGUUUAUCAAGUAUAAACUUCAAUUUUAAUGGGCAAUACUAUAAGGUCCUGUGUAACCAAGCUUGGAAUACUGUAAAUUCAGAAAUUAUU